rnacentral:rRNA from 1 species
AGAGUUUGAUCCUGGCUCAGGAUGAACGCUAGCGGCAGGCUUAACACAUGCAAGUCGCGGGGCAGCGCGGAGUAGCAAUACUCUGGCGGCGACCGGCGGAAGGGUGCGUAACGCGUGAGCAACUUGCCCGCAUCAGGGGGAUAACCGGUGGAAACGCCGCCUAAUACCCCGUAACAACAGAGGCCGCAUGGUCUUUGUUUGAAAGUUCCGGCGGAUGCGGAUGGGCUCGCGUGACAUUAGCUAGUCGGCGGGGUAACGGCCCACCGAGGCGACGAUGUCUAGGGGUUCUGAGAGGAAGGUCCCCCACACUGGAACUGAGACACGGUCCAGACUCCUACGGGAGGCAGCAGUGAGGAAUAUUGGUCAAUGGGCGGAAGCCUGAACCAGCCAUGCCGCGUGCAGGAAUGAGGCCCUAUGGGUCGUAAACUGCUUUUGUGGCGGAGCAAUAAGGUCUACGUGUAGACUGAUGAGAGUACGUCACGAAUAAGCAUCGGCUAACUCCGUGCCAGCAGCCGCGGUAAUACGGAGGAUGCGAGCGUUAUCCGGAUUUAUUGGGUUUAAAGGGAGCGCAGGCGGACAGUUAAGCGUGGCGUGAAAUGCAGCGGCUCAACCGUAUGAAGUGCGUCGCGAACUGGCAGUCUUGAGUGAGUACGAUGUAGGCGGAAUUCGUGGUGUAGCGGUGGAAUGCUUAGAUAUCACGAAGAACUCCGAUUGCGAAGGCAGCCCUACAAGUCCUUUACUGACGCUAAAGCUCGAAGGUGCGGGUAUCGAACAGGAUUAGGUACCCUGGGUAGUCCGCACGGUAAACGAUGGAUGCCCGCUGUUUGCGAUAUAGUGUGAGCGGCCAAGCGAAAGCGUUAAGCAUCCCACCUGGGGAGUACGCCGGCAACGGUGAAACUCAAAGGAAUUGACGGGGGCCCGCACAAGCGGAGGAACAUGUGGUUUAAUUCGAUGAUACGCGAGGAACCUUACCCGGGCUUGAACUGCAGCAGAACGAUUGAGAGAUCAUGAGGUCCUUCGGGACUGCUGUGGAGGUGCUGCAUGGUUGUCGUCAGCUCGUGCCGUGAGGUGUCGGCUUAAGUGCCAUAACGAGCGCAACCCCUCUCUUCAGUUGCCAUCACUUCGGGUGGGCACUCUGGAGACACUGCCACCGUAAGGUGUGAGGAAGGUGGGGAUGACGUCAAAUCAGCACGGCCCUUACGUCCGGGGCUACACACGUGUUACAAUGGGUGGUACAGAGCGUCGGCCGCCGGCAACGUCGGUCCAAUCGUGAAAUCCAUCCUCAGUUCGGACUGGGGUCUGCAACCCGACCCCACGAAGCUGGAUUCGCUAGUAAUCGCGCAUCAGCCAUGGCGCGGUGAAUACGUUCCCGGGCCUUGUACACACCGCCCGUCAAGCCAUGAAAGCCGGGGGCGCCUGAAGUCCGUGACCGCGAGGGUCGGCCUAGGGUGAAACCGGUGAUUGGGGCUAAGUCGUAACAAGGUAACCGUA